AACGAACGCUGGCGGCAUGCCUAACACAUGCAAGUCGAACGAGACCUUCGGGUCUAGUGUCGCACGGGUGCGUAACGCGUGGGAACCUGCCCUUAGGUUCGGAAUAACUCCCCGAAAGGGGUGCUAAUACCGGAUAAUGUUUUCGGACCAAAGAUUUAUCGCCUUUGGAUGGGCCCGCGUUGGAUUAGCUCGUUGGUAGGGUAAAAGCCUACCAAGGCGACGAUCCAUAGCUGGUCUGAGAGGAUGAUCAGCCACACUGGGACUGAGACACGGCCCAGACUCCUACGGGAGGCAGCAGUGGGGAAUAUUGGAAAGUGGGCGAAAGGCUGAUGCAGCAAUGCCGCGUGAGUGAUGAAGGCCGUAGGGUUGUAAAGCUCUUUUACCCGGGAUGAUAAUGACAGUACCGGGAGAAUAAGCGCCGGCUAACUCCGUG
rnacentral:rRNA from 1 species